rnacentral:rRNA from 1 species
AUGGGGGCAGGGCAAAGCACCAGCGCGGCGGAAACAGUACCGCGGCACAGACUGCGCCAUCACCACCAGUCCAUCUCGCCCCCAGCCCAGAGGCUCCUCCACUCGCCUUUCCCCUCCCCUCCUCCGCCGCCGCCUCUCCCUCGGCGCAGCAUCACCCCCUCGAUCCCACGCUCCCCCGGCCAGUUCGCGGUCUCCCGCCGCGAUUCCGCGCGGUGGGACGGCCGAUCCGGCCGGGCCCUGUUCGUGUGGUGUGGGCACGUACUUCGCUCGGACUUGCGGGGAGAAUCGGCGGCCGGAUCGCACUAUGGGCAGGGAUCUUCUACUGGAUAG